rnacentral:misc_RNA from 1 species
UCCCUGUUACCAGGGCUGUAUCCUAUGAAAAAUCCAACAUAGGAUGAGGGUUUCGUUCGUUCAAGGACUUAACCUCACAGCUCACGCCACGAACUGACGACGACCGUGCAGCACCUGUCUUUGGGCUCCUUGCGGCACCCUCUCGUUUCUGAGAGGUUCCCAAGAUGUCAAGCCCUGGAUAAGGUUUCUCGGUUAUUGUCGAAUUAAACCACAUGCUCCACCACUUGUGCGAGCCCCCGCCAAUUCCUUUGAGUUUUAAUCUUGCGAUCGUACUUCCCAGGCGGUCAACUUGACGCGUUAGCUUCGCAACAGAGAGGGUCGACUCUCCCAAUUGCUAGUUGACAGCGUUUACGGCGUGGACUAC